CAUACGGCAAAAGAAACCUAUUGAUCCCCUCGAGGACACAGGCACACAGCCGCCGAUCCUCUCGAUCCACCCCUCCCGAUGCGAGCUCUCUCCUUCCCUCUCCUCGCACUCCGGCACCGCCCCCAUCUCCCGCUCCGGCGCCACCCCUACUGCUCCGCUGGCCCGACGCAGCCGGAUCUCACAACCCAAUCUCAUGCUAUCUCACAGCCGCUGCCGCCGAUCUCACAGCCGGAUCUCAUGCGAUCUCGCGCCGCCGACGUACGGAGUCACCUCCACGGUACAGGAUCACCGCCGCUGAUCUAAGAGGUCACGUCGCUGCCACCAUUGACUUACCCGCGCUGCUUGCUGCUCUGCUCGUGUCAUACCUCCUCGGUCAUGUUUGCCGCCAUGGCCACCAGUCCCCACCUCGAUCUAUCAUCUCCUUGACCAGCCACCCAUGUCCUAGCCAUGUUGUUGUUGCUGAUCUCCUCCCCCCCGACCCGUAGGUGGACAAUAUGGAGGUUCCGGCUGCCGCUGGUGUCAAACGACAAGAUGGGUAGCGAGAUAGCCGUCGUGACUUCAGGUAUGUUUGCUUGAGUGUGUCUUUUUUUCCUUGUGCGCUGCUUCAAUUUCUUUAACUAACCAUCAGCGGAGAAGAAGGUGCCCUGGAUUGAGAAGGUUGGUGAGCACGCUAAGAUGCAACAUACUCUAGGGGCCGCAGUGACCAAAUUGUUAAGAAUAUUAGACUCUGGUGUCGUGAUGCUGUAUACAACAUAUUUAUUGGCAUCAAAUAGUUUCAGGUUUGUUCUUGAAUUCGAUUCAUGCUGUCCAUGGCGUCUGCUUAUAAUCAGGUUUAAAUUUCUGGUGUUUUAUGUAAUUUAUUGUCAACAUUAUGUAUCUUUUCUUCUGUAACCCUUAUUGAUCAAAUCAGAUUUGGUGUCUCCAAUAAGUCCCCAAUCUCAGGCACAUUUAGUUUCAUGUUGAAUGCAUUAUAGCCAAUUCAAUUUAUUUUGUACGUAUAGCUAUUGAUCCUUUAUGAUUCAUGAGAUUGUUGACAAAUUGCAAAAUUAUUCUUUGGUUAUAAUUCUGUGGUUCUCUCUGGCUGCAGACAACUUUUUUUCUCUGCAUACGUGUUCCUUAUGACAAUUAAAGGAUACUAAUUUUUUUAAAAUAUUACAGGAGAUGCGUAUACGUAAGUUUGACUUUUAGAUAAUACAUGCCAAAUUAAUGUUAUGUCGUGCAUGACAGUGUAGCUCGGCAGGGUAAUGGUGAAGCUUCAUUCUGACGGUCUAGAAGUUUUUGUUUGGUGUUUCCCUCGGCAGGGUAAUGGAGGAAGAUGAGACUUACCCCAGUUUUCAGUGCAUGGUUGGAGAAGAGGAUAAGAGGAGAGGCUUGAAUCUUGAGGUGACAAGGGUAGUCAUCUGGUGCAACUAAAGGUUCAGUUUCAUACUUGUGAUGAUAUUGUUCAGUUUGCCUGGAUGAUUGCCCUUGUACUACUCUUUUCAGAAGGAAGGAGGUAAAUGGAGCAAAAGGCACGAGGAGAAAGGAGUAACGCCAUAGGGAUGACGUUGUCGACAGCGCCUUUGAAAGGAUUCGCCAUGGAGAAGCUACGGUGGUUGACCAUCUUGCUCGGGAAGUGGGAAGGAUGUCAUUCGAAACGCCCCUAGGUUCUAGGGCGUGCAUCCAUGCGGCGGACGAGGAUGGCCAUGCGGCGGCCGAGGUGGCCACAAGGAGUUGGAUUGGGCACUUGCCAAUGCGAGCGUGCCGUUGCUCAAGUAUGCCAAUUUAUCCGUGAUGGCAACCUAACAUUUGGAGGUAAUGACGACCUCACUAGAGUAAGGGGAAAAUUGUGGGAGUGGACGCACAUCAUGUAGGUGAAACGGGAGAGUUUGUGGUCGUAGCAGCUGUGUUCUUCUUACAGUUUUCCUUCUCUGAAUUGCAUCUUUGGUACAUCUAUAUUUAUUAUUUAAUAGCAUGGAGAGAAAGUUGUCAUCGGUAUUUUCAUCAGUUAUGCAAUUGAUUCUGUACAGAGGAAAUGUAUGCACUCUUUUCUCAUUCUUGUACAAUAUAUCCUCCUUUUGAUGUCUUAUCU